UACGUAGGGUGCGAGCGUUGUCCGGAAUUAUUGGGCGUAAAGGGCUCGUAGGCGGUUUGUCGCGUCGGGAGUGAAAACCAUGGGCUUAACUCAUGGCUUGCUUCCGAUACGGGCAGACUAGAGGUAUGCAGGGGAGAACGGAAUUCCUGGUGUAGCGGUGAAAUGCGCAGAUAUCAGGAAGAACACCCGUGGCGAAGGCGGUUCUCUGGGACGGUACUGACGCUGAGACGCGAAAGCGUGGGGAGCGAACAGG
rnacentral:rRNA from 1 species